rnacentral:rRNA from 7 species
AGACCCGAAACCCGGUGAUCUAGCCAUGGGCAGGUUGAAGGUUGGGUAACACUAACUGGAGGACCGAACCGACUAAUGUUGAAAAAUUAGCGGAUGACCUGUGGCUGGGGGUGAAAGGCCAAUCAAACCGGGAGAUAGCUGGUUCUCCCCGAAAGCUAUUUAGGUAGCGCCUCGUGAAUUCAUCUCCGGGGGUAGAGCACUGUUUCGGCUAGGGGGCCAUCCCGGCUUACCAACCCGAUGCAAACUGCGAAUACCGGAGAAUGUUAUCACGGGAGACACACGGCGGGUGCUAACGUCCGUCGUGAAGAGGGAAACAACCCAGACCGCCAGCUAAGGUCCCAAAGUCAUGGUUAAGUGGGAAACGAUGUGGGAAGGCCCAGACAGCCAGGAUGUUGGCUUAGAAGCAGCCAUCAUUUAAAGAAAGCGUAAUAGCUCACUGGUCGAGUCGGCCUGCGCGGAAGAUGUAACGGGGCUAAACCAUGCACCGAAGCUGCGGCAGCGACACUGUGUGUUGUUGGGUAGGGGAGCGUUCUGUAAGCCUGUGAAGGUGUGUCGUGAGGCAUGCUGGAGGUAUCAGAAGUGCGAAUGCUGACAUAAGUAACGAUAAAGCGGGUGAAAAGCCCGCUCGCCGGAAGACCAAGGGUUCCUGUCCAACGUUAAUCGGGGCAGGGUGAGUCGACCCCUAAGGCGAGGCCGAAAGGCGUAGUCGAUGGGAAACGGGUUAAUAUUCCCGUACUUGGUGUUACUGCGAAGGGGGGACGGAGAAGGCUAUGUUGGCCGGGCGACGGUUGUCCCGGUUUAAGCGUGUAGGUGUGUGUUCCAGGUAAAUCCGGUUCACUUUAACACUGAGGCGUGACGACGAGGCACUACGGUGCUGAAGCAACAAAUGCCCUGCUUCCAGGAAAAGCCUCUAAGCAUCAGGUAACAUCAAAUCGUACCCCAAACCGACACAGGUGGUCAGGUAGAGAAUACCAAGGCGCUUGAGAGAACUCGGGUGAAGGAACUAGGCAAAAUGGUGCCGUAACUUCGGGAGAAGGCACGCUGACACGUAGGUGAAGUGAUUUACUCAUGGAGCUGAAGUCAGUCGAAGAUACCAGCUGGCUGCAACUGUUUAUUAAAAACACAGCACUGUGCAAACACGAAAGUGGACGUAUACGGUGUGACGCCUGCCCGGUGCCGGAAGGUUAAUUGAUGGGGUCAGCGCAAGCGAAGCUCCUGAUCGAAGCCCCGGUAAACGGCGGCCGUAACUAUAACGGUCCUAAGGUAGCGAAAUUCCUUGUCGGGUAAGUUCCGACCUGCACGAAUGGCGUAAUGAUGGCCAGGCUGUCUCCACCCGAGACUCAGUGAAAUUGAACUCGCUGUGAAGAUGCAGUGUACCCGCGGCAAGACGGAAAGACCCCGUGAACCUUUACUAUAGCUUGACACUGAACAUUGAGCCUUGAUGUGUAG